UUUUCUCUGAUUUUGUGCAAAAUCCGGUCUUUUUUGAUUUGGUGGUCAGGGUUUUAAUUAACGAGAUUUCUUGAUUAAUUAUCUGUGGGGAUUUUAUGCUUUACUUUAUCUGUUGAUAAUGGAACUAAUUUGUUUCGUUUUCUUGGCUAAAUCUUUCGUCAAUUAUGGGGUUUAUGCGUUAUGUCUUGUGUUUUCUCAAGUUAAUAAGUUUUUAUUUGUGUAUUACGUGUUUUGUGCUUUAAGUUCUGUAAUAGUGUCUCAUUGAGGUAAUUUAAUCAUUUUCAAUGGAAUUUUUGGGAGCAACUCUUAAUUAAGGUUCUGUUGUUAAAUGGUAAUUAACGCUUUUGUGCUUGUUUACUGUAAGUAUGAUUGGCAGUGUGUGUAUAUAUGCACGCAUCUUACUUUAUUAGUGUGUGUAGGUUUUAAAGCUGAGAUGGUAAUUCUUGCUACACAUUUACAAUAGGUUUUUUUGAAAGGUGUAAUUCAGAUGUGGCAUUACAGUCCUUAGUAUUAUUUGAGAUAAGUUUGUCGAGAUCAUUUUGUAACAUGGACUGGACUGUACACAUGUGAACAUGUCUUGGAAUAUAGCUCAUUUAUCUGUUUGGCUGAUUAGUUUAAGCAAGUGAAACCGUUUUGCAGGUUUUGGA
rnacentral:misc_RNA from 1 species